AAUAGAUACCCGGGUAGUCCACGCCGUAAACGAUGAGUGCUAAGUGUUAGAGGGUUUCCGCCCUUUAGUGCUGCAGCUAACGCAUUAAGCACUCCGCCUGGGGAGUACGGCCGCAAGGCUGAAACUCAAAGGAAUUGACGGGGGCCCGCACAAGCGGUGGAGCAUGUGGUUUAAUUCGAAGCAACGCGAAGAACCUUACCAGGUCUUGACAUCCUCUGCGAACCCUAGAGAUAGGGCGUUCCCCUUCGGGGGACAGAGUGACAGGUGGUGCAUGGUUGUCGUCAGCUCGUGUCGUGAGAUGUUGGGUUAAGUCCCGCAACGAGCGCAACCCUUGAUCUUAGUUGCCAGCAUUCAGUUGGGCACUCUAAGGUGACUGCCGGUGACAAACCGGAGGAAGGUGGGGAUGACGUCAAAUCAUCAUGCCCCUUAUGACCUGGGCUACACACGUGCUACAAUGGAUGGUACAAAGAGCUGCGAACCCGCGAGGGUAAGCCAAUCUCAUAAAGCCAUUCUCAGUUCGGAUUGU
rnacentral:rRNA from 1 species